rnacentral:rRNA from 1 species
UGGGGAAUUUUUGACAAUGGGGGAAACCCUGAUCCAGCCAUCCCGCGUGUGCGAUGAAGGCCUUCGGGUUGUAAAGCACUUUUGUCAGGAAAGAAACGUCAUGGGUUAAUACCCCGUGAAACUGACGGUACCUGCAGAAUAAGCACCGGCUAACUACGUGCCAGCAGCCGCGGUAAUACGUAGGGUGCAAGCGUUAAUCGGAAUUACUGGGCGUAAAGCGUGCGCAGGCGGUUCGGAAAGAAAGAUGUGAAAUCCCAGAGCUCAACUUUGGAACUGCAUUUUUAACUACCGGGCUAGAGUGUGUCAGAGGGAGGUGGAAUUCCGCGUGUAGCAGUGAAAUGCGUAGAUAUGCGGAGGAACACCGAUGGCGAAGGCAGCCUCCUGGGAUAACACUGAAGAUCAUGCACGAAAGCGUGGGGAGCAAACAGG